UCGGGAGGGAGCGGUGUGUUCUGGACUAGGGAGCGAGUGUUUACAUUGACGAUGUAAUGGCUGGUCCUACAUAUUGUAGUAGUCACACCAACAGCUAUGACUGCUUUCACUCCUUGUUUUGUUCACGAGUAUUCAACGGUUCACGGCUUCCAAUGAAUAGUCGCUCCGCCUCAAACCCGUGCCUGAUUCGGAAACCAACAGAGCCGCGAGUGAACUGAGAAAGUAGACUUGAGUAACUCAACUAAACUCAAACAAGGUCUUAAUAAAAAAAAUGAAUUUGAA